rnacentral:misc_RNA from 1 species
CAGACACGCGAACGUCAUGACUUUUUGACAGGAGAUACGCUCAAUGAAUAUUGAUAAGACACUUACUCAGUUUGGGGACACUCCUUCAUCGACAUGGACGGAGUUAGUGGCGCCUGCGAAGAAAACAAUGUCACAAGUCAAGAACUACACAAGAAACCCAAACAAUAUGUCUUUGAUGAUCUGUUUGAAAUGGUUGGCGGGCUCGGUCGAUAUCCAGCAAUGCUUUAUUUAUUUACAUGCAUUAUGUCCAUACCGAUCGGCUUGGCUCAGCUAGUACAAGUUUUCUAUGGUGCUUCACCAAGCUUCGAGUGUAGUACUACCCGUGAUCUUGCAAGUAAUAGCAGUACUUGUCCGGUGAAUACGUGUUGCGCAAACUGCUCAAGUUACGAUUUUCAAGGAGUCCUGACAAGCGCCGUUUCAGAGUGGAAUUUGAUCUGCAGUCGUUCUCACUUGAAGGCAAUGACACAGGCCGUCUAUAUGGCUGGUCUUCUGGUCGGAUCGUUUGCUUUUGGUGUGAUAUCUGAUAGGUUUGGACGUCGUUUAUCAAUCUUUCUAAGCAUCUUCCUGUUGGCUUCAUGUGGUGUGGCGUCAGGAGUGGCUGACUGUCUCUCACUUUUUGCGCUAUUUCGUUUCGGGACUGGUGCUGCGUGUGCUGGGUGUUUGAUAUCUCGUUACGUGUACUGCGUUGAGCUAGUCGUCACAAAACAUCGUACAGCGGCAGGUUUUAUCAGCAAUAUCUUUGUUAGUAUUGGAUUUAACUUGUUGGCUUUAUUGGCGUACUUAAUACGAGACUGGAGGCACUUGAUGCUAGCUGUAUCGCUUCCUGCAGCCCCUCUUCUUGUAUGCUGGUGGUUCAUCCCUGAGUCUCCAAGAUGGCUGAUUGCUCAGAAUCGAAUCGAUGAAGCACAUCAGCUCCUUUUAAAAUUUGCUUGCAAAAACAGAGUUAAGGUUGACGAGGAGGAACUGAAGCUCGUAAUACUUGAAAUAAAGAAAGCCGAACUGCGCCAAGAUAAUACGAGGAAGUAUGGCGUCCUUGAUUUGGUGAAAACGCGCAAGUUGAGAAAGAGAACAAUCAUUUGCUGUUUCAACUGGUUCGUGAAUACAUUGGUUUAUUUUGGUAUCAACUUGAAUGUGAAGAAUCUAGGGGGCGAUAUGUAUCUGAACUUCUUCAUCUUGAGCAUCAUUGAAAUUCCAGGUGCACUAUUCUGCUGGUUCCUUAUGGCCAGGUGCACUAUCAGUUUGGUUCUUCGCCAGAUUUGGACGGCGCAUACCGUAUUCCGUUCUGAUGCUGACCAGUGGGAUUGCAUGCAUGCUUGUAUUGGCAUUUCCAUCAACCCCAGAAUAUCGAUAUGGUAUUUUAACAUUGGCCAUGAUCGGCAAGAUAUGCAUCAUGUCCACCUUCCUCGCUAUCUAUGUCUACACAGUUGAGCUCUACCCCACCCUUAUCAGGAACAUUGGCAUUGGCACGUCGUCUAUGAUGGCACGAUUUGGUGGGAUUGCAGCACCUUACGUCGUUCUGCUGGCUGAUCUUCCCAAUGUCAGUAAAACGCUUCCUUUGGUGAUAUUUGGAGUGAUGGGCGUGACCGCAG